CAGAGCUUGCUCUGUGGAUCAGUGGCGAACGGGUGAGUAACACGUGAGCAAUCUGCCCCUGACUCUGGGAUAAGCGCUGGAAACGGCGUCUAAUACCGGAUACGAGCUGCGAUCGCAUGGUCAGUAGCUGGAAAGAAUUUCGGUCAGGGAUGAGCUCGCGGCCUAUCAGCUUGUUGGUGAGGUAAUGGCUCACCAAGGCGUCGACGGGUAGCCGGCCUGAGAGGGUGACCGGCCACACUGGGACUGAGACACGGCCCAGACUCCUACGGGAGGCAGCAGUGGGGAAUAUUGCACAAUGGGCGGAAGCCUGAUGCAGCAACGCCGCGUGAGGGAUGACGGCCUUCGGGUUGUAAACCUCUUUUAGCAGGGAAGAAGCGAAAGUGACGGUACCUGCAGAAAAAGCGCCGGCUAACUACGUGCCAGCAGCCGCGGUAAUACGUAGGGCGCAAGCGUUAUCCGGAAUUAUUGGGCGUAAAGAGCUCGUAGGCGGUCUGUCGCGUCUGCUGUGAAAACCCGAGGCUCAACCUCGGGCCUGCAGUGGGUACGGGCAGACUAGAGUGCGGUAGGGGAGAUUGGAAUUCCUGGUGUAGCGGUGGAAUGCGCAGAUAUCAGGAGGAACACCGAUGGCGAAGGCAGAUCUCUGGGCCGUAACUGACGCUGAGGAGCGAAAGGGUGGGGAGCAAACAGGCUUAGAUACCCUGGUAGUCCACCCCGUAAACGUUGGGAACUAGUUGU
rnacentral:rRNA from 1 species